rnacentral:rRNA from 1 species
UUAAAUUGAAGAGUUUGAUCAUGGCUCAGAUUGAACGCUGGCGGCAGGCCUAACACAUGCAAGUCGAACGGUAACAGGAAGCGCUUGCUGCUUCGCUGACGAGUGGCGGACGGGUGAGUAAUGUCUGGGAAACUGCC